AUGUCAGAAGGAGGAUCAUCUGCUGUGGGUGUUCCUGAUCUUUGAGCCAUGAUAAUGUUACUGGUUGGAUGUCAGGAGCAGGCCAUGUGGAUGAUUAAAAGAUGAAUAUCAUAUACAGCAUGGAUAUGUUGGACAAAAAGAUGAUUCACAUCCCAGACAGAAUGGAGCAGCACAUUUAUUAAAAGCCAGAAGCUAGAAGACGAGGAAAGAAGAGAUGCAGCUGGAGAGCCUGGGGUGAGAACAUGAGCAGUCUAUAAUCAGAAAAUCCCUUUGGGAUAAAUUGACAAAAAUAUAAACCACUCCACAAAGGAGAAAUUGUAAAUGUUGUUCUUCCAGAUGGCAUGAAUCCAACAGUGAAGAAAUCAGAAUACGUUGCUUUUGUGAGGGGCAGCUGCUGAUUUUCUCUGAGCUCCGUUUCCAGCCUUCACAUGCUCUGCUAUUCAUCACAGGGUAAAUUCUGACUAUAGGAGGUACUGACAGAAGAUUAGGGAAGAACAGAGGGCUAAAUGUUUAUUGACUUCUUGAAAAAUGCUAUGUGUCUUGCCAGACUUAGCUUACAAGUUUGGUUAAAGAGAGACUGACAUGAGCAUAAAGGAAGGGACAUUGAAAGAGGCAGAGAUGAAGGAAGAAAUUGUAACUUACUCCUUUUAUCCCACCCAUCAAAGGAAAGACAAGUUGACAAGUAUUGAUUCUGCAACAAACUGAGAAGAAACCUGGCGAUUCACAACAGAGAGCUGAGAAAUCCUAAGUCUGGAUUCCAGCUAAAUGGGAGCAGACUAAAUAGAGCGGCAGUCGGCGAACUACAUGUAGCCCAUGAACAAAAUCCGGUCCAGCACGUGUGUUUUUUUUUACGGCCCACAAAUGAGUCUGUCUUUACAGAUGAAUGUUAAAACUGGGUUGACAAGAGAGAACACUCACUUUGAACCGCAACUAAACAAAAUAUUAUCACCUUUCCCCUCAAAAAAGGUUUUUGUUCUUCUCAUUAGUAAAUUUGUAUUAUGACAAAA
ensembl:lncRNA LINC02492 long intergenic non-protein coding RNA 2492